rnacentral:lncRNA from 1 species
UGCCUUUCAAGUGGGUCCGCCGGGUCGUCGAGAGCAGCAGUGGCAUAUCUCAGAAGCGAUCUUUCACUCUGGUCGUGGCAUGCACACUCUCGUCCCCGAUUACCUGGAGCACGUCAUAGAGCGUCCAGAAGAAAAAGCUCUUUACCUAUUUCAAUGACUACUCCUAAUCCGUGCCUUUCGACCACCCCGCCACCUAUGGGGGAGCUCAAGCGCAGGAUCAAGGAUGAUCUCCUGGGAUUCAUGGACGGCGAGGCUUACUUCCGGAAGAUCGGUCGAGCAUUGAAGCGGGGAUAUGUCCUCUACGGCCCGCCGGGCACGGGAAAGUCGUUGCUCAUCGCUGCCAUAGCUCACUUCACCAGUUACGACGUCUACGCACCGACGUCAAGAACAACUUGAAGCCAAGCACCACCGAUCGAGGACAUCGACUGCUCGCUCAACUUGAAGAAGCGCCUGGAGCCCGAGGAGAAAACAAAGAGCAAAGGAAGGAUGAAAACGAGGAUGAUGAAGACGAGGAGAAAAGCAAAGUUACCUUGUCGGGCCUUCUCAACUUCACCGAUGGCCUCUGGUCGUCCACCAGCAGCGAGCGGAUCCUCACCUUCACCACGAAUCACAUCGAGGAACUCGAUGGGAGCAUGGUUAUGCACA